AAACUUUCAACAACGGAUCUCUUGGCUCUGGCAUCGAUGAAGAACGCAGCGAAAUGCGAUAAGUAAUGUGAAUUGCAGAAUUUAGUGAAUCAUCGAAUCUUUGAACGCACAUUGCGCCCCUUGGUAUUCUGGGGGGCAUGCCUGUUCGAGCGUCAUUUA
rnacentral:rRNA from 1 species